AUUGAACGCUGGCGGCAUGCCUUACACAUGCAAGUCGAACGGUAACGCGGGGCAACCUGGCGACGAGUGGCGAACGGGUGAGUAAUAUAUCGGAACGUGCCCAGUAGUGGGGGGAUAGCCCGGCGAAAGCCGGAUUAAUACCGCAUACGACCUACGGGUGAAAGCGGGGGAUCGCAAGACCUCGCGCUAUUGGAGCGGCCGAUAUCAGAUUAGGUAGUUGGUGGGAUAAAGGCUUACCAAGCCUACGAUCUGUAGCUGGUCUGAGAGGACGACCAGCCACACUGGGACUGAGACACGGCCCAGACUCCUACGGGAGGCAGCAGUGGGGAAUUUUGGACAAUGGGCGCAAGCCUGAUCCAGCCAUGCCGCGUGCGGGAAGAAGGCCUC
rnacentral:rRNA from 1 species